CCUGCCGGACCUGACUGCUAUCGGAUUGAUACUAAGCCAUGCGAGUCUUUGCAGUAAUGCAAGGCAUACGGCUCAGUAACACGUAGUCAACCUACCCUAUGGACGAGAAUAAUCUCGGGAAACUGAGCAUAAUUCUUGAUAGACCAUAAUGCCUGGAAUGGUUUAUGGUUAAAAUGAUUCGUCGCCAUAGGAUGGGACUGCGGCCUAUCAGCUUGUUGGUGAGGUAAUGGCCCACCAAGGCGAUUACAGGUACGGGCUCUGAGAGGAGAAGCCCGGAGAUGGGUACUGAGACACGGACCCAGGCCCUAUGGGGCGCAGCAGGCGAGAAAACUUUGCAAUGUGCGAAAGCACGACAAGGUUAAUCCGAGUGAUUUCUGCUAAAGAAAUCUUUUGCCAGUCGUAAAACCGCUGGUGAAUAAGGGGUGGGCAAGUUCUGGUGUCAGCCGCCGCGGUAAAACCAGCACCUCAAGUGGUCAGGAUGAUUAUUGGGCCUAAAGCAUCCGUAGCCGGCUUUGUAAGUUUUCGGUUAAAUCCAUGUGCUCAACGCAUGGGCUGCCGAAAAUACUGCAUAGCUAGGGAGUGGGAGAGGUAGACGGUACUCAGUAGGUAGGGGUAAAAUCCUUUGAUCUAUUGAUGACCACCUGUGGCGAAGGCGGUCUACCAGAACACGUUCGACGGUGAGGGAUGAAAGCUGGGGGAGCAAACCGGAUUAGAUACCCGGGUAGUCCCAGCUGUAAACGAUGCAGACUAGAUGAUGCAUUGGCAUAAUAGCCAUUGCAGUGUCUCAGGGAAGCCGUUAAGUCUGCCGCCUGGGAAGUACGUACGCAAGUAUGAAACUUAAAGGAUUGGCGGGG
rnacentral:rRNA from 1 species